rnacentral:rRNA from 1 species
GAUGAACGCUGGCUGCGUGCCUAAUACAUGCAAGUCGCGCGAACAGACGAGGAUCUUGCUCCUCUGCCGUUAGCGGCGGACGGGUGAGUAACACGUGGAUAACCUACCUAUACGACUGGGAUAACUUCGGGAAACCGGAGCUAAUACCUGCUAAUAUAUUUACCCUCAUGGUUCAAUAGUGAAAGACGGUUUUGCUGUCACUUAUAGAGGGAUCCGCGCCGCAUUAGCUAGUUGGUAAGGUCACGGCUUACCAAGGCAACGAUGCGUAGCCGACCUGAGAGGGGGAUAGGCCACACUGGACCGGAGACGCGGUCCAGACUACUACGCGACGCAGCAGAAGAGAAUGUACCGCAAUGGGCGGAAGGCUGGCGGAAAAAAGCCGAGUGGGGUAUGAAGGGCUGGGGAUCGGAAAACUCUGUUAUUAGUGAAGAACGAAUGUGUAAGUAACGAUGCACGUCUUGACGGUACCGAAUCAGAAAGCCACGGCUAACUACGUG